UCUUUUUUUCUUCAUUAUUCUUCGUUCUUCUUUUUCUUCUUCUCUUUCAUUCUUCUCCUGUUCCUCUUCUUCUGCGAGUUCGAGUGAUGAAUUUGAGAGCACGUUUGAGAGUUUUUUAUUGAUAAAAAUCAACUGAUGAAGAUGUAUAGAUGAUGGAGGAGUCGAGGUUGUUGUUAAUGAAGAAGAAAAGAUGAUUCAGAGAACCAAGUUGGGGUUAUCUGUGAUUAUGAAUUAGGGUUUCGAAAUAGUGAUGAUUAAGAUGAAAUUGAAGAUGGGUUUGUUCUUAAUUGGGUUUGAUAGAAGUUGUGGGGUUGUUCUGAGGUUGAUUUGAGAAUUGAAUCAAGAGCUAGGGUUCAUAAGAAAAGUUCAGGGGAGAGUUUGAAGAUGAAGUUAUUGAUUUAGGGGAUUGAAUUAAUGAUGGAUGUGUUCUGAAUCGAAUAAUAAGUGGAUGUAUUGGGUUUAAUUGCAGUUCUGUAGGAAAUUGAAUCUGAAAUUAGGGAUUUUGACAUAAUGGAGAUUUAGGGUUCUUGGGCUUGAAGUUUAACUGGAGAAGAUGAAAUCGACAGUUUAGGGUUUUGAUGAAAUCAAGGUAGAAAAUUAAGCAUAGGGUGAAUCAUACAUUUCAAUUUGGGAUUUAGUCUGAGAACAAAGAAGAGGUUGAAUUCGAAGUUGGUUGAAAGAAACUUCUUUGAGGUAAUUUUUAUCUGAGUUGAUUUAGUAAAGUCUUUUAUUUUAUUGAUUGAGUAUAUACAGUUGGUAAUUGAAUUAAGAAUAGCUGGGUGUUUGAGUAGAUGUUGUAUGAAUGGGGAUUACAGGUAGUGGUGGUGUUAUCAUCGUUGUUGUGUAUUGUGUAAUGCAGGGGAGAAAUUGGAGGUUUGUUCUGGUUCACGGGGAGUUGUUAUUUGAAUUGAGAAGUAGUUGAGCUGUGUUAACUGUAGUGGUGCUAUAAGGUGCAAGAGAAUGUGUGGAUGAGUGUAUAUGUAUUACAUUUGGUGGUGCAAGUGGUGGUUAUAUGUGCUGGGAAGAAUUGGGAAUUAUUAGGUUGCAGGUAAUGGUGUUUAACUGAUGUUGUGUUGUUUUGAGUGAAGAAAUUGUAGUUGAUGGAAUUGUUGUAAUGAAUAGUUGCAGAAGAUGGAUUACAGAUAUGCGCAACUGUAUAGGGGUUGCCUGUAAUGAAGGUUAUGUUGUUGUUGGGAUUCAAAUUGAGUGUGCAGAUUUGCCUGAGUUGGUAGUGUUGAACUGAACUCAGUUGAGUGGUUUGUGAUUUGGGUUAAUACUGAUAAAGAAUAUGGUUUGUAUGUAAUUGCUGAAUUUAAGUUACAUCAGGGGAGAGUUGAGUUGUAGUGAAGUUAUAAUGGUUAUGAUUGAUCCAGUUGAAUGAAAUAAUCCGAGUUGAAGUUGGUUUGGAUGUUGUGUUGGAAUGAGUAGAUGUAUUGUUGAAAUGGCAGUAGCUUGUGAAAGCCUGCAAUUGCAGACCAAGUUAGUCUAUUAACAACGAUCGAUUCAAAAGAUGAACUAGUGGAACGUGGAUCUCGAGAUAGGCGUGGCUUGUCAUCAAAAGAGUUUCAGAGACAGAUCAGAGUUGUGCAGCGAAAGCUUCGAGACGUUGAGUCCGUUAGUUGGUUAACUUCGGCUAUGAUUAUUAUGAUGGAUAUUAUAUUCGUAAACCAUAUGACUAUUGUAUAUGUAUCAUUUGAGAGGAGUUCUUGUAUAUAUAUACUUUUCAGAGCGUGGCUAGUUUUGGGGUUAAGUUUUGAAGCAGAUUUCUUAAUUGAAUGUUUAAGUAAAUGAUUUAGAUUCGUAGUG